rnacentral:rRNA from 1 species
ACGGAGGGUGCGAGCGUUAUCCGGAAUCACUGGGUUUAAAGGGUGCGUAGGCGGCUUGAUAAGUCAGGGGUGAAAGCUCACCGCUCAACGGUGGAACUGCCCUUGAUACUGUCAGGCUCGAAUUGGGUUGAGGCAGGCGGAAUGUGGCAUGUAGCGGUGAAAUGCUUAGAUAUGCCAUAGAACACCGAUUGCGAAGGCAGCCAGCCAAGCCUUGAUUGACGCUGAGGCACGAAAGCGUGGGGAGCGAACAGGAUUAGAUACCCUGGUAGUCCACGCCCUAAACGAUGUUUACUCGACGUCCGGCCCCUGCGGUCGUGCGUCCAAGCGAAAGCGUUAAGUAAACCACCUGGGGAGUACGUUCGCAAGAAUG